GCAAAGACCCCACCAUGGGCAGCCACAAGUAGGACAGAGGGCUGUGGGUGGGGUGGGCUACAAAUGCCCUGCACCCGGAAUUAUUCCCCUCCCUAAUCAGAAUGUAGGCCAGCUGCAGGGGAAAGGUCUGGCCAGGCUCCCUGAGGGCCUGGGUCUCUUCCAUGUGGCCUGGCCUCACUUGCUAUCCCCCUCACUGGGUCAGGACGCAGCGACUGCUGAGUGGCCCGUGGGUGCCAGGCAGUGGUGUGAGUGGACAAGCACUGGCAGUGGCCCCGGAUGGAAAGCUGCUAUUCAGCGGUGGCCACUGGGAUGGCAGCCUGCGGGUGACUGCACUACCCCGUGGCAAGCUGUUGAGCCAGCUCAGCCGCCACCUUGAUGUAGUAACCUGCCUUGCACUGGACACCUGUGGCAUCUACCUCAUCUCAGGCUCCCGGGACACCACGUGCAUGGUGUGGCGGCUCCUGCAUCAGGGUGGUCUGUCAGUAGGCCUGGCACCAAAGCCUGUGCAGGUCCUGUAUGGGCAUGGGGCUGCAGUGAGCUGUGUGGCCAUCAGCACUGAACUUGACAUGGCUGUGUCUGGAUCUGAGGAUGGAACUGUGAUCAUACACACCGUACGCCGCGGCCAGUUUGUGGCGGCACUACGGCCUCUGGGUGCCACAUUCCCUGGACCUAUUUUCCACCUGGCAUUGGGGUCCGAAGGCCAGAUUGUGGUACAGAGCUCAGCGUGGGAACGUCCUGGGGCCCAGGUAUGGGGAAGGGGUGCCCAGCAAAGAUGGAGGGGCAGUUGGGAUCCUGUCCUUGCUGACACUCCCUGCUUCCUCCAGGUCACCUACUCCUUGCACCUGUAUUCAGUCAAUGGGAAGUUGCGGGCUUCACUGCCCCUGGCAGAGCAGCCUACAGCCCUG
rnacentral:sRNA from 1 species